rnacentral:lncRNA from 1 species
AAGUGGCUAUGCUAAUCUGAAUCUUAAUAAUAAACUCUAGCAUGGAUAUGAUGAAUAGUUGCUCUAUCUAAUUUUUAAAAUUUAAAAUUCUCUAUCAAGUUUAGACAUAACUGUUAUAAUUUAAAGCUUGCUCUAAACCUAAACUCGUGGGAUGAAAACUUGAUCCGAAGUCUAAGUUGUUAACGGAUAUCAUAUGGGAAGGUUGAGCUGUUGUUUAUCUGUUCCUAGAGAUGCUAGAAUUCUGGAGAAAUUUAUCUUUUAAAAUCUUUAACACAUGAUGAGUUCCUGUAUGAUGAGAGUUUAAAUUCCUACCACAGCCAUAUAUACAUGCUUGCUAGACUUUGAGCCACACAUUUACUAUUUUCUGCUUAUGAGCAUUGAGUGUGGUCAAGCUGUGUAGACCCUUAGGAGCUUGUCAUGUGGUUAAAUCAAGAUUCACUUGCACGUUCACUCAUACAUGCUACUUCUACUCCGGAAGUACCAUCCACAUAUAUCCACUCAUUUCCAUCUCCAGAACCACCCAAAAAUAUUCUACUCCUAAUCCGGGAGAGAAUAGCCAAAAACAUUUCUAUUUUUCCCCUGUGAAAUAAAUGCUCAAGUUAUCUUGUUACUACCACUUGCUAUAUUAUCUUAUGAGAUGAGUGCUCUAAAAAAAAGAAAAAAAAAGAUACUAGGAAAUAAAAAGGGGCAAGUGCGUGGAACCUCGGAAGAAAGAAAAAGAGUGAGACGAGAGGUAAAAAUGGAAAAGUGUCCGACAGUAGAAUUAGGGGUACAAGAUACCCACCUAAGAGGAAAGAAAAAGAAAAUAUAGAGCAUCUCAUUCUCCACAAAAUUUCAAAAAGAAAGGAAGGUAUGUAUCCCCUCAAAGAGCAAAAUUAGAAUUAGACUUUCACCAUUGUUAUCACCAUCAUCACCAUACACCAUUCAUUCGCCACACAUGCACAUCUUGAUUUGACUUAUUGAUUUGUUUCUUUGGAUCCAUGGUUUGACUAUGCAAUAAAUGUCUUGUAAGUAUGUAUUAGCUGUCUCCCACCUAUGAGCUCCAGAUAUAAAAGUCUUAUUAGAGUAGGGUGAGAGAGAGGGCAAUGUCACUAUGCUUUGUACCACAAAUACCACAUAUUCUUGAGAGAAGGCAUAUACCAUCAAUGCAUUGGUAAGGAUCUAGAAAUACCACAAAAGAGAGAUAUGAGAGAAUCAUACAAGGAAUCUCUGAGUUUUAUUUGAAAAUCUGCAAAAACUCUUGAGCUAUAGCUGAUCAAGAAGAAGAGACAUGGCACUUGACUAGACUGUUCUAUCUUUUAACUACUCAAGACAGAAGUGACGGUUACAAGUCCCAUGGUGAAAGGUAAAGUAAGCAAGUUUUAAGUCUUGACAGUUUACUCUAACUCAGAGAUUAGAUCUUAUUUAAAAGUAUGUGUACCGUCAAUUUUUAAAAGUAUUACAACAACUUCUAAUCUAUCCUUGCUCAGGGACGAGCAAGAGGUAAGCUUGGGGGAGUUUGUUGACGGUUCUUAAGUAUCAAAUUUAAUUAUCAAAUAAACAAAGAAAAGGAUCCAAAUGAAAUCAACAUCUAGACUUAGGGUUUUAUCUGACAGAAUUCCACGAGUUUUCGUGUUUCUCUAUUCCUGCAGGGGGUUAUCAGGAAAUACGGAAGAAAGGCCCACACGUCGGGAUUACAUAGAGAUAUUAAUGUGCCACGCAAUUAUCUUACAUCUAGAAGACUCUAGAAGCCAUAGGAAGGAAGCGGAGGCCGAACGGGGCCAGGCACUGGGCGCCCGCCCCCUCUGUGAGUCCAAUCAGGACUCUCUCUCAGGAAAGAUCUCCACCGAUCUAAAGGAUCAAGGAUAACUGUUCAAUCAAUGUCGGUUUGAUCCAACGGCCCAUAUUCACUUGAAGGGACUAUAAAACCAGACCCCCUGGCCCCUGGAUGAGAGAGCCUCUCAACACUAAUUCAUUAUUCUCUAGGGAGAAGAAGCCCCUGAUCAAGAUUAGAGCCACCACAUCAAUUAGAUAUCUAGAUUAGCAUAGCUACAUAGGAUUAGAACUAGAAGGAGUCAAUCUUCGAUUGGUUUCCGGAUCUGUCAAGAGGAUUCUUGGUAAUUCUCUAAUUGUGCUUCUAAUUGUUCUUCUAAUUAUCUUUGUUCUUCAAUAUUAUGAAUAUGACUUUGUUCUACUUCAAUAUAUUGCUUAUGACUUUGCUCUACUUGCUUAUAUUCAAGAUUAUAUUGUUCUUAGUUUAUCAUAGUUAUGUACUUGGCUUAGUUAGAUUGGAUCUACAUACAUGUUUAGGAUCAUAUAGCGUUUAUACAUCGGAUCCAUGGGUAAAUGAUAGAUAUUGUGUAGGCGUGGUGCUUAUACCGUAUUUAUCUGCAAUUGUACCCAAUAUGCCAGAUCGUGGGGUAGUUCGUGGUAGUGAUAGCUUUUCUUAUAUAGUCCCCCUCUCGUGUAUUGGGCUGGCAGAACAACAUUAUUAUAGGGGAGUGAUUGCUAUAUUUCUCAUUUACCUUGCUAAUAUCACUAUGCAUGGGUAUAGUCUUGUCUCACAAUGAUUGCUAAGUAUGCUUGCACUAACUAUGAUAAUGCUAGACUAUAUAGUUGAGAAUAACUUAGAAAAUAUUCUUGUAGUUCGUUCUAAUACCAUGCUAAUGACUUUCUAGAAUAUCUAAUUGAGGUGCUUAUCAUAUUUAUUAUGUGGCUAAGUUAUGUUGAUCAGAUUAAUUAUCUUUAUCACUAUUCAUUACUUCAUAUAUCUUUUAUGUGACACUUACCCCUGUAUGAAAGAGUUAGAUAAAUGUUCUCAAUUAUACAUGCAAUGAUAGAUACUCAAUCUCAUAUUCUAUUCUGUAAUCAAUAUUGAUGAUUGCUAAUCCCUUCCCAGUGGUAAAAAUAUAAAUAACGAUACCUGGAAUACUUCCUAGUUAAAAUGCUACAUCGGUAUUAAUCUGUGCGCUUGCAGAUCCCAUUCAUUAUUUAUUUAGAAGAGCAAUUGCAUAUUUCAAUACCGCGUCUCUCAUGUCAUGCUGGGGAUGACAACUUGGCUUAAGUGGUAUGAGGGAUAGGUGUGGCAUUUUUGGCACCGUUACUAAAAUUAGAAAACUAAGUCUACUUUUGGUAAUGAUGUUAAGAAUACCCAACACCCCAUACAAACUCUUGAUCGGCUUUCAACUUAAGUAAAGGACUAAAAGCACGAAUCUUACCAGACAAAUUAGGUAUAAAUUGUCUGAUGAAAUUUAUCUUGCCGAUCAAUGAUUGAAGCUCAGUUUUAUUGGUGGGAGCAAUUAUCUUGUUAAUAGCAUCCAUAGAUCUCCUACUAAUUUAAAUCCCUCUUUGGUGCACCAUGAAACCAAGAAACUGUCCUGUAGAUAAACCAAAUGCACAUUUAUUAGGAUUCAUCUUUAAACCAUGUUUUCUUGUGCACUCCAACACCUUUCGUAAAUCGGCAAGAUGUUUUGUGAAGUCUCCAGACUUAACCACCACAUCAUCAAUAUAGAUUUCCACCAAUUUGCCGAUGAACUCAUGAAAGAUAAAAUUCAUGGUCCUCUGAUAAGUAGCACCAGCAUUCUUCAAGCCAAAAGUCAUAACUAUCCAUUCAAAUAACCCAACAUGACCAGGACAUCUACAUGUAGUCUUGGGAAUAUCUUCUUCAGCCAUGAAUAUCUGAUUGUAUCCUGCAUUGCCAUCCAUAAAGCUAAUAACUCGAUGUCCAGCUGCAGCAUCAACCAACAAAUCGGCAACCGGCAUUGGAUAACCAUCCAUCGGUAUGCCUUGUUAAGAUUCCUGAUAUCAAUGCAGACACGAAGCUUCCCAUUCUUCUUGUAAACUGGAACGACAUUGGAAAUCCACUCGGCAUACCGACAUUGCCGAAUAAAUUUAGCUUUAAUAAGUUUAGUUAUUUCGGCCUUAAUAUCAGGAAGAAUAUUAGGAUUGCAUCGGCGAGCUGACUGCUGAUGCGGCCGAAAUCUAGAUUUGAUAGGUAACCGAUGUUCAACAAUAGAUCGGCCUAAACCAGGCAUCUCGGUAUAAUCCCAAGCAAAGAAAACUUUAUAUUCCAUUAACAAAUUAGUUAACUGUUGCUUACACUCAGAAUCUUACUUAGCACUAAUAAAAGCAGGCAUCGGCCUAUCACCAUUACCUAUAUCUACUUCUACUAAAUCAUCAGCCGAUGUAAAUCCCUGGCCUAAUUUUCCAUCAUCGGCGAACCUAUCCAUUAAAACUCCUCAUCAAAACCGACUGCUUGGAUCGGUGGAAUUUCAUAAUCGGCAACUUUGAGAAAAUCCUUCUCCGAAAUCUCCUUUGAAAUGCAUCUGGUCCUUUCAUAAGUAUCUGCUUAUGUCGAUGCAAUGAAAUACGAAGAAUCUCCUGGGACAAUUUCAAUCUUGUCACCUACCCACUGAACCAAGCAUUGGUGCAUUGUAGACGGGAUGCAACAAUUGGCAUGAAUCCAAUCUCUGCCCAACAGCAAAUUAUAAGCACCCUUUCCACUGAUGACGAAGAAAGUUGUCGGCAAGGUUUUACUGCCGAUGGUCAACUCAACACAUAUAGCUCCCUUGACUAGAGACACAUUCCCUUCAAAACCUUUAACAUCAUAUCGGUCUUGGUCAAAUCUUCAUGUCCUUUGCCAAGCUUCCGAUAGACUGCAUACGACAUAAUAUUGAUAGCAGCCCCACCAUCAACAAGUAUCUUGGUCAUCAGCUGUUCAUCAACCCUGCCUUUGACGAAUAGAGCUUUAAGAUGUUGUCUCUCAUUAUCGGUGGGCUUUUCAAAAAUAGCCGUCAUCGGAUCCAGAGCCAAUUGAGCUAUCUGAUCGGGAAAAUCUACCCACUCAUCAUCAGUGAAGGGCGCAAGGAAUUCCAUUGGCAACAUAAUCACCAUAUUAAUGUCUGCCGAUGGACCUUUUCCCUUAGGAUCUAACUGCUAUCGAUCUCCAGAUUUAGUAGAAUUUUCUCCUCUACUCAGCUCUUCCUGUCGCUCCCGCUGUAACCUCCUAUUCUGUGUCCUUGUCAACCCUUCUGGACACCACAGAGGAAGUUGUGGUUGUCGUACCGAUUGACGACGAUUUUCCCUUGAUUCCACCCGAUAAGUAUUAGCAUCUCUGCAAAAUAUGAACUCAUCGGGAACUCGUGCAUCCACCAUCUAUUCAGGCUCUUCUUGGUUCCUAGGAAAAUAACCAACACGCUCACCAAGCCUGUCGUGCACACUGUGUCUGCCCCCCAGUCGAUCAUGAACUGACGUCCUUCCUCUAAUCGGCCCACCAAAACACCGAUCAUUGUCUUGAUACUGCCGAUUUGGUCUAUCAUACCGAUUAUAGCCAUUGCACUCAGGGCAGUCUCUAACAGUUGGUAGCUUGAUGUUUUGCUCCCAACAGUGAAUGAAGAACGGCUAGUUCCAGUGAUCUUUAUGCCGAUUCCACUCUUGUCGGCGUCUUUCUUCUUCCCUGCGACGAUCUUCCUGUUGGCGACGAUAUCGAUCUUCACGCUGCUGCCAGGUUUCCUGAUGCCUUCUAUGAGUGAUUAUAAUGCCAGAUCGGGGAGGCCUCCCUGAGCUAGUUCCUUCCUCGAUCAAGCCCUUACCUUUGGCAUCAUCGGCAGUAAUCUGGUGUUGAGGAUCUACCGAUGCGCUUCUUUCAGCCGCCUCUGAAGUCAAUACUUUGGUUUUUCCCUUGACAUAUUUGUAGGGAAAGGAUGUUGGUCGAUCUUCAUCGGCUUUUGAGCUUUGGAGCUAUCGAACUUAAUUCUCCCAGAUUCUAUAGCCGAUUGCAGCUGUUGCCUGAAAACCUUGCACUCAUUUGUACUAUGAGAUGUUGCAUUAUGCCAUUUGCAAUACUUAAUCUUCUUUAAUUCUUCUGCCGAUGGAAUCACAUGGUUGGGUGACAACUUAAUCUGCCCCACCUGAAGCAGAAAGUCAAAUAUCCUAUCGGCUUUGGUAAUGUUGAAUGCAAACUUUUCUGGUUCUUUAUGCCCAAAAGGGCAAGGCAUCGGCUUCUUAUUCUUCACCCAUUCUGCCAAGCCGAUGACUGGUUCUUCAUCAGAAUCUGAGCUUGUUGCCUCAUCGACAAAUGACACCUUUUUGUUCCAUACUCUCUUAGGUUCAAAAGUUUUGAUAUCUUGGUCAGAAAUCCUCUGCACUAAAUGACUCAGACUUUCAAACUCUAGAGAAGCAUACUUGUCUCUAAUAUGUGGCAACAAUCCCUAGAAAGCCAAAUCGGCUAGCUGCCGAUCGUCUAGAACCAGACUAUAGCAUUUAUUCUUGACGUCUCGCAACCUUUGCACAAAGCUUUCAACCAACUCAUCGUUGCGUUGCUUCAGCCUGACUAAAUCGGUAAUCUUCUUCUCAUGAACUCCAGAAAAGAAGUAUUUAUAGAACUGUUUUUCUAGAUCGGCCCAUGUAAUCACUGAGUUUGGAGGUAGUGAAAUAAACCAAGUAAAGGCCGAUCCAGACAAAGAGGACGAGAGUAAACAAACCCUUAACUCAUCUCUGUUAGCAGCUUCCCCACACUGGAUGAUGAACCUGUUAACAUGCUCCAUGGUUGACGUGUCAUCCUCCCCAGAAAAUUUGGUGAAAUCGGGCACCUUGUACCGAUUUGGAAGCGGAAUUAAGUCGUACGCAGGAGGAUACAGUGUCCGAUAAGAGUAAGUGUUGACUUUGGGUUUUAUCACAAAUUGAUCUCUCAUCACUUCAGCUAUCUUAUCGGCCCAAUAAGCAUAUGAACUGGUUGUGGAUCUGGGAUCUGCUGAUAAGCUUCCACGUGUCUCUGCGGCGCGCGAUCUCCAGGGAACAUAGGAUUGACCACCGCCUGCUGACCACCAACUUGCUGACCAAGAUUCAUCGGCUGGUUGAUUAACCCUUGAUUCUGAAACCCAGGUUGCAUUGGUCCCUGUUGAAAUCCCAUAGCCUGAUGAUUCUGCUGAGGCAUCUGUGGAAAGACGAACUGCCUUGUCCAUCCAUUAUUAACAUUCAUCGGCGUAGGCCCUGCCGAUGACUGAUAAUUGGGCAUCAUCAUUGAAUUGACAUACCCUGGCUGUGUCAUAAACCUUUGCUGCGUUGGCAUUGGAUCUGCCGAUGCGUUAGGCAUCUGAAACGUCGAUACUUGAGAAUUCCCAGUAAAAGGUCUUGCAGUAGUAGUUGUAGAAUACUGGGGAUUCUGAGUCAUCGGCGAUACUAGGGGUGCUAAUGCCAUAGGAGCCUUUCCUGACAUGUCAGCCACUUGAGACGUUCCAGAGUUAUUUGCUAUAAACUCUGGGGGCAUACCAUAUCCCCACCAAUUAGGAGGAACUUGAGAAACCUUAAACACAGAUCCUGACAUUGCCGAUGCCAAUAAAUCUGUAGCGAGUUUAACCUAUUCUUCUGAUGUUGAUGCAUUAGUCACCAUUGGUGUAGAUUGCGCAUUAGUCAUCCCUAAUGUGCCUGGAGGAGAAGUAACUUCUGUACCCGCAACGGCUAUAGUAGCCGAUGGAGCAGUAACCGAUGAUGAUCCUGACUGAUGAUAGGCAGGGCCCACAUAAGAUGGUGGUAUUUGUCCUUCUUUGAAAGUUCUAGCUACAGCAUUGAAAACCGUAUUGGACAGCACACCAGAUUGAUUGGUUAGAGCACGAUUGACAGCACUAUCAACCAUCUCUUGUAGUUUACCAGGAUUGGCUUCAAAAGUAAUUUGCUGAGGCAUCGGCAAUGCUUCCUUCUAGAUCACCUCGCCACUCCUGUUGAUGCUGAAGGAUUUCAAGCAUAACUGCUUGUAGUCCUCCAUAGCUUUUACCAUAGGUUGCUUCUGCUCAUCUCUGAGAUUGGCCAUCGUCACGGGGAUGACGUUCUCCAAGUCAAAAUCAGUGUUCGACAUGUUGAUCUUGAUAUUGAAUCUCUAUCCCACCGAGAGUGCCAAAAGAUGUGUUGGUGCAAAAGUAGAUCUGCAAACACAAAGGGCUAAUACCCGAUUCAACAUUAAGGCGUGCCAACCAAUUUGACCUUACAAUCGACAAAGGCGAUAACUCGAACACUUUGGUCCCAACAACAGCGAUGCGCCCGGAUGUCACGGCCAAGAGGUAUUCACGCGAACUCGAGAACUUGCCGAGGUUGACUCGAGGAAUUCCUAAGAACUCAUAAUAAAAAGAAAAUAUGUAGGGUGACGAAGUCGUCAAAAAAGUAGAUGCUAGAAUAUGUGUAAAAACUUGUGUUUGAUUGAUUGCGUAUAUCUUUACAUUGCUACGGGGUCUUAUAUUUAUACCCUGCCCAAAAGGGUUACAAUCAGACAUGACUAGGACUCGAAUUCCAAAUUGAACGGAAUCCGUAUGCAAAGCAAACUCUAACAACUAUGGAAAACAUUAAUCUAUCCAACACAACCGAUCGGCACAUCAGCACCAUCCGAUCGACAAUUCUGGCACCUUCUUUUGCAUCCAUCGGCAACUAUCAGCAUCAAUCAUCGGCAUAGAUUUAUCACCACUCCUGGACUUGGUCAUAUUCUGUUGUUUUAUCAUUGGUAUCAACCCUCAUCGGUAACUCUUCUGUCAACCAGUCACCACUUUACUCACCUGCUGAUCCACGCCUUAUUAACUCCUCAGAUACGCAUCGAAAGAUAUGUGUCCAAAAAUGGUGUCAACAAUUUGAAAUAAAUAACAAGGUAUUAAUUAUCUAAGUUAUUCAAUAUAAUUCAAGAGAUAAUGAAAAGAGACAUGUAACGUACUCUGAGCGUCUUUGUGGAUGUUUGAUUGACUUGUGCCAUCAUGAAUUUGCACACGUAAUAUGCACAUAGGUUGUUCCCCCCUUCUUAUCUUAAACACCACUAUACGAUAUAUAUAUAUAUAUAAAAUAUUCAUGACCACGACAAUAAGAAGGCUAAAAGUUAGCGAAAGUUUGCUAGCUAGUAAAACUUACUUGUGGAUGAAUUAUGUUAAGCGGCGCUUUCCAUCCACUGAGAUGUUCACGGUCAAUAAAUCUUUCCCAAACCCUACACACAACCAUUGUGGAUCGUGAACUAAUAAGAGUCAUAUUAUGAUAUUCUUCUAGCUGAGAUCGACAUUACGUACCUUUGAAUAAUGUUUACCAUUUGUUGAUAAUUUUCUUGUGGUUUUCUCAUUGAGUCAAAGAUUAUCAACCAGUUCUUGGGAAUUUCAAUGACCAUGAGUAUCCAGUGAAAGUUGUUUACACACAUAUAUAGUCAGGCCUAUAUAUAACUAUAUAAAACUUGUCUCGAGUAAUAAUAAGUAAAAUAAAAUAUGCAUGCACUUAAUAACUAUAUAACUCACUCGAAGUUGAAGGGGAAGAGUAUUUUUUGUUUAUUCUUUUUGGUUCACAAAGAACCUCAUAAGAUUGGUGCAGACUUCUGUCUCAUGAGAUGUUGUCACACUGCCUGCGGAGCCUUGAAAACAAUAUAAGGUUCAACGAACCCAAUACUAUUGUCAUUUCUGAUUAUGAGCUCUCUCAUUUGGUGCCUGCAUAUAUACAUACAAAUCCUAAGUGUGUAAGGAUUAUAUACAUGUAAUUAAAGAAGUUAGAAUUUAAUAAAAAGAAAGAAAUACUUACAGACAAAAGCAGACAAAAGCAGCUGACAAGAGAUUUGUCGAAAGCGUCGAGGUGACAUAACUACAUGUAUAUGAGGUCAUUGUUGACACUUACUAACACCACUUGAAUACUAGGUUGUCAUCCCCAGCAUGGUGCCAGAGUGUACAAAGGUAUUUAUGAAAGUAAAGGCUUCUGUAGAAAAUAAUCUAUUCUAUCCGCAAGCGCACAGAUAAAAUACCUUAUUGUAGCAUUUCAAUAGGAAAAUAUUCCGGGUAUCGUUAUUUAUAAUUUUGCUUGAGAGAACAGUGGAGGUAAAUAAAAUCUAUCAAGGCAUAGACUAGAGAUAAACUUGCAAGAACAUGAUUACUAAUGAAGAACUCGUCACACAGUCACUUGCUUUAGCAGGGGGUAAGCCAUAAUAAUGAAAAUGGAAUAUAAGCUCAUGGGUAAAUAACACAGCGAUUAGAAAAUAGACUACUCCUCAUAUAUGUAAGGUGACAUCAGAUUAGCUAGAGAAUGGAUUCAAAGUUAUCUACUAUCUACUAAGUCACAAUCUACUCUAGUUAUCUACAAGAUCAUAUAUAGCAUAAAAGACUCUUCAUUCAUGUAUAAGGAACAUUGCUAAAGUAAAACAGAACAUCGCAAGACUUACUCCGCAAUACAAAUUUUGCCUGUCCUAUAUAAGAAUCAACGAAGCUGUCACUAUCGUGAACUACCACACGACCCAGCCAAUAGGAUACUUUUGCAGGUAAAUAACAUCUAAGCACCACGCCCACAUGUGAUCUACCACUUAACUCCCGCGCGUCAAGAGCUAAGCGCUUUGCAAACUUAUACAUAAACUCAUUAUCAAUCAUAACUAUAUCAAAUAUAGAACUAGAGCAAACUAAGAACAUAAUAAAUAGAGACAUAAUGCAAUUAGAAUAAAGUAGUAGAGAAAGAUAUGAAAUAAUACCAAUCUUUAUUAACCAAGAUCUGAAUCGAGAGCGUUAGGCUCUACUUAUCUAAUUCUUUCUAAUCAAUCCUAUAGAACUUGAAGGAUUAGGGAGUAGCUAAUUCUAAUUCUCUGUGGGAGAGAAGUUCUAAAACCCUAACUUUGAUGGCUUCCUCUGAUAAUGAUUUUCUCCUCCUCCCCUAGGGUGGAGAGGCCUUGCUUAUAUAGCCCCCUCAAGUGAAUGUGGGCCGUCGGAUCAAACCAACUUUGAUCGCACGGUUAUUCUUGAAUAUUAGAGGCGGUGGAGCACGAUGCAGGAGACCUGCUCUGAUUGGCCACCAGAGCAGGGCGGGCGCUCAAGGGGGGAGGGCGGGCGUCCUGCCCCCAGGCCCGUUCGGCUUUCCGUUCGUUCCCGUGGCUUCUGGACUCUUCUAGGUCAAGGAAAAUUGUGCGGAACAUAAUUAUCUCGUUGUAAACCUGACAUGUGGGUCUUCUCUCUAUAUUUUUUGAUAACCCCCUGCAGAAAUAGACAAACACCAAAGCUCAUGUAAUUCUAUCAGAUAAAACCCUAAUUCAAGAUGUUUGGUGCAUAUUGAUCCUUUUGAAUGUUUAGUUGAUGGUUAACUUUAGUACUUAAGGACCGUCAACAAACUCCCCCAAGCUUACCCUUUGCUCAUCCCUGAGCAAACAGCUAAACUCAAAUGGAUCAGGAGUUGUUUCGAUGUUUUCUUUCCUGACAGGCACACAUGCUUUUACAUAAAAAUUCUUCCAGAUUAGAGUGAAGUGUCAUGGAGCUUAGUACCUGCACUUAAGUCUUAAGUAAUCGAAAGACAAAAUAAUUAAGUCAAGCACUAUCCCUCUUGCCUAUACUUCACCUUUCUUCUGGAGUUUUGUAUAAGUUUUCAAAAAUAAAGCUCAGAGUUCCCAGCUAUGAUUCUCUCAAGUCUCUCUAUAUGUGGUAUUUGUGGAUCCUUACCAAAAAUGUCACUUACCUAUAACUAAUGAAAUAUUUAAGAGGAGCUCAUAGGUGUGAAAAUCAGCUCUUACAUAUCUUGUCUUAAUUGAGCCAUGGAUCCAAAGGAACUCAGCAUAUAAUUAAAUCAAGAUGUGCAUGUGUGGUGGAGUAAAUGAUAGUGAUGGUAAAAAUGUAUAAGUGAUGAUAAAACAUACUUCUCAUUGCUCCUCAUAUUGCUAUCUCUCCUCCUCUCUUGAUCUUUGCUUUGGGAGAACAUGGGCUAUCUCUUUUUUUUAUUAGGUGGGUAGUAAAUACCGCUAAUUCUACUGUCGGACACUUGUCCAUUUUUUCCGCUCAGGUGGGUGUUGGGUAUUCUUAACAUCAUUACCAAAAGUAGACUAAGUUCUCUAAAUCUAGUAACGGUGCCAAAAAUGCCAAACCUAUAUCCCUCACACCACUUAAGCCAAGUUGUCAUCCCCAGCAUGAUAUAAGAGACGCGGUAUUGAAAUAUGCAAUUGCUCUUCUAAAUAAAUAAUGAAUGGGAUCUGCAAGCGCACAGAUUAAUACCGAUGUACCAUUUUAACCGGGAAGUAUUCCAGGUAUCGUUAUUUAUAUUUUUACCACUGGGAAGGGAUUAGCAAUCAUCACUAUUGAUUACAGAAUAGAAUAUGAGAUUGUGCAUCUAUCAUUGCAUGUAUAAUUGAGAACAUUUAUCUAACUCUUCAUACAAGGAUAAGUGUCACAUAAAAGAUAUAUGAAGUAAUAAUAGUGACAAGGAUAACUAAUCUGAUCUAGCCACAUAAUACAUAUGAUAAGCACCUCAAUUAGAUACUCUAGAAAGUCAUUAGCAUGGUAUUAGAACGAACUACAAGAAUAUUCCCUAAGUUAUUCUCAACUAUAUAGUCUAGCAUAUCAUAGUUAGUGCAAGGAUACUUAGCAAUCAUUGCGAGACAAGACUACGCCCAUGCAUAGUGAUAUUAGCAAGGUAAAUGAGAAACAUAGCAAUCACUCCCCUGUAAUAAUGUUGCUCUGCCAGCCCAAUACACGAGAGGGGGACUAUAUAAGAAUCAAUGAAGCUGUCACUAUCACGAACCACCCCACGAUCUGGCAUAUUGGGUACAAUCGCAGAUAAAUACGAUAUAAGCACCACGCCUACACAAUAUCUAUCAUUUACCCAUGGAUCCGAUGGAUAAACGCUAUACGAUCCUAAGCAUGUAUAUAGAUCGAAUCUAACUAAGCCAAGUACAUAACUAUGAUAAACUAAGAACAAUAUAAUCUUGAAUAUAAGCAAGUAGAGCAAAGUCAUAAGCAAUAUAUUGAAGUAGAACAAAGUUAUAUUCAUAAUAUUGAAGAACAAAGAUAAUUAGAAAGUAAUUAGAAGCACAAUUAGAGAAUUACCAAGAAUCCUCUUGACAGAUCCGGAAACCAAUCAAAGAUUGACUCCUUCUAGUUCUAAUCCUAUGUAGCUAUGCUAAUCUAGACAUCUAAUUGAUGUGGUGGCUCUAAUCUUGAUCAGAGGUUUCUUCUCCCUUGAGGAACAAUGAAUUAGGGUUGAGAGGCCCUCCCCUCUAGGGGCCAGGGGGUCUGGUUUUAUAGUCCCUCCAAGUGAAUAUGGGCCAUUGGAUCAAACCGACAUAGAUUGUAUGGUUUAGAUUCAUCCUUUAGGUCGGUGGAGAUCUCCCACGAAGCAGAGUCCUGAUUGGACUCAGGGAGGGGGCGGGCGCCCUGCCUCUGGCCCCGUUUCGCCUCCGCUUCGGUCUCGUGGCUUCUGGAGUGUUCUAGAUGUAAGAUAAUUGCGCGACACGUUAAUAUCUCUAUGUAAUCCCGACGUGUGGGCCUUUCUUCCGUAUUUCCUGAUAACCCCCUGCAGAAAUAGACAAACACCAAAACUCGUGGAAUUUUGUCAGAUAAAACCCUAAGUUUGGAUCUUUAUUUCAUUUGGAUCCUUUUCUUUAUUUAUUUGAUAAUUAAAUUUGAUACUUAAGGACCGUCAACAAACUCCCCCAAGCUUACCUCUUGCUCGUCCCUGAGCAAGGAUAGACUCAGCUAUGGAUCAUAAGUUGUUACAAUAUCUUUAAAAAUUGACGGUACACAUGCUUUUUAAAUAAGAUCUCAUCUCUGAGUUAGAGUAAACUGUCAAGAAUUAAAACUUACAUACUUUACCUUCACCAUGGGACUUGUAACCGUCACUUCUGUCUUGAGUGGUUAAAAGAUAGAACAGUCUAGCCAAGUGCCAUGUCUCUUAUUCUUGAUCAGCUAUAGCUCUGGGGUUUUUGCAGAUUUUCAAAUAAAACUCAGAAAUUCCUUGUAUGACUCUCUCAGAUCUCUCUUUUGUGGUAUCUCUGGAUCCUUACCAAGGCAGUGAUGGUAUAUGCCUUCUCUCAAGAUAUGUAGUAUUUCUAGUACAAAGCAUAAUGACAUUGUCUUCUCUCUCACCCUACUCUAAUAAGGCUUUUAUAUCUGGAGCUCAUAGGUGGGAGAUAAAGUAUACAUACUUACAAGACAUUUAUUGCAUAGUCAAACCAUGGAUCCAAAGAAACAAAUCAAUAAGCCAAAUCAAGAUGUGCAUGUGUGGCGAAUGAAUGGUGUAUGGUGAUGAUGGGAUAACAAUGGUGGUGGAAGUCUAAUUCUACUUUUGCUCUUUGAGGGAAUACAUACCUUCCUUGCUUUUUGAAACUUUGUGAGGAGAAUGAGAUGCUCUUCUUUUUCUUUUCUCUCAGGUGGGUAUCUUGUACCCCUAAUUCUACUGUCGGACACUUGUCCAUUUUUACCUCUCGUCUCACUUUUUCUUUUCUUUCGAGGUUCCGAGCACUUGCUCCUUUUUAUUUCCUCGUAUUAUAUAUAUAUAUAUUUUUUUAGAGCACUCAUCUCUUGAGAUAAUAUAGCAAGUGGUAGUAACAAGAUAACUUGAGCAUUUAUUUCACAAGGGAAAAAACAGGAAUAUUUUUGGUUAUUCUCUCCCAAAUUAGGAGUAGAAUAUUUUUGGGUGAUUCUGGAGAUGGAAAUGGAUGGAUAUAUGUGGAUGGUACUUCCGGAGUAGAAGUAGCAUAUAUGAGUGCACGUGCAAGUGAAUCUUGAUUUAACCACAUGACAAGCUCCUAAGGGUCUACACAGCUUGACCACACUCAAUGCUCAUAAGCAGUAAAUAUUAAAUGUGUGGCUCAAAGUCUAGCAAGCAUGUAUAUAUGGCUGUGGUAGGAAUUUAAACUCUCAUCAUACAGGAACUCAUCAUGCAACAUUUUAAAGAUUUUUAAAGAUAAAAUUCUCUAGAAUUCUAGCAUCUCUAGAAACAGAUAAAUAGCAGCUCAACCUUCCCAUAUCAUAUCCGUUAACAACUUAGACUUCAGAUCAAGUUUUUAUCCCACAAGUUUAGAUCUAGAGCAAGCUUUAAAUUAUAACAGUUAUGUCUAAACUUGGGAGAGAACUUCAAAUUUGCAAAUUAGGCAGAGCAACUAUUUAUCAUAUCCAUGCUUAAGUUUUAUUUAGAUACAGAUUAGCAUAGCCACUUUAUUUAUUUAUUAAUCACACUAAGCAAAAGACAUAUAUAUAUAUAAGCACAAACUCUUUAUUUGGUUUUCCAUAGUUUAUGUGUAUUUAUAUUCUAAAAUAAUAUAAGUAUAAAGAUAGAUAGAAAUACUUAUCGAGAUAAAUGGGGGUGCUCUCCCCCAAGUUGAAUUUUGACGUAAUUUCUUUUGAUGUAGCUAGCAGGUGGCAGAGGUGUAUUUGAAAGUCAGCACAGCGAUUAGAAUGUCCUCCGUCUGCCAGUCUUCUUGAUUCUUAAAUUCUGUGGAGUUCAAAUAGACAACAAAGCUUGUGGAACUGGUUAAGUGUUAGCAUAAAUAUCUAGCCUUUAUCAUGUUGAGACUCCUUAAUAAAUAUUACUCUCUAUUUUUAUAUUUUUAUUUUUAUAGAGCAGAAAAAUAAUUAUUUUAUUUUUAUGCCACCACAGUGAAUGUACUUAUGGGUUUUAUGCCACUCGUCUACUCACAUGGGGCUUACUGUUUUUCACAUUUUUAUUUUCUUUUUAAGAUAGUAUGAACUUAAUUAACUAAGUAAACUAUUUAAAAUAAUUGAAAGAGAAAGGAUAACUACCAAGUUUACCACGUGGCAAAGCGUUCGGUGUUUUUUAAGUCCUCCGAACAGGACUCUCCAUUUUCUUAAUCAUCCUGAGGUUCGUUGGGUGGCGAAGUCGGUACUUCCGGCAGCGCCUCCUCUUCAUGUAUAGUUAUCUUCAUUUUCCAUACCUGACUCGGUGCUUCAGUCUCCUCUAGAUAAUUCUGUUUAAACUCAACGUCUUCUGAUCUUAUCACUUCUCCUUCGUAGUCUGCCCAUCCGUCCUUGAUGAUCUGCCUCCUCUGGUUGCGGUUGCGUUGCUUUCUUACCUGCUUAGAUUCUUCCAUGAUAUAGUUAGGAUCAGUAAAAUAACGGCGUACCUUCUCUGAGGGGAAGUGCAUAUGGACUUCUCCAGUUCCAAUGUAGAUAAUUGCUUUAACGGUGCUGAGGAACGGUCUUCCAAGGAUGAUAGGUGGAUCAUACUCGUCUUCUCCCAAGUCAAUAACUUGAAAGUCUGUGUAGACAAAGUGAUCGUCUAUUUUGACUGGGACAUCAGUUACUAUUCCUUUAACUUCUCGAAAUGUCUGAUCUGCCAUCUGGAGUUGAAUGUACGUUGGUCUUAGUGGCAUGGUUCCGAACAAGAGCCGAUAGGUGACUGCGGCCAUUAUGUUGACGCCCGAUCCGGUGUCGCAAAACGUCUUGUAGUAGUUGUAUCCAUUUAUGGAGCAGUAAAUGCUUGGCAUUCCUGGGUCAUCCUUCUUGGUCAAAAAUGGUGACUUAAGUUGGUGAUCUUGGCCUCCAUGAACUACAGUGACCAUCUUAGCUGACUCGGUCCACACUUGCUUCUUCCUGUUCCUCCUGUUGGUCCUCUUUCUUGAUUCACGUCUGGAUUGAUCUGGAAUUUGUGUAGUCUUGUUCUUGAAAAAAAAAUGUCUCCUUCCUCCCUUUGAUGUAGAAACUGAUCUUGGCAGCACUAGCAUAGAUGAUAGCUCCUGUGGUGUUCAAGAAUGGCCUCCCUAGGAUGAUAGGUGCUCUCUCAUCAUUUCCGGUCUCUACCACUACGAAGUCUGCUAGAGCAUAUAAGGUACCAACUCGGACGCAAAGGUUCUUCAAUAUUCCUUUUGGAAAAGUUAUCGUCUGAUCUGCAAACUGCAAACACAUGGUUUUUUCUAAUAAAGGAUAUGUAAAGAAUUUUUCAUAGAGUACCCUGGGUAUAAUGUUGACGCUGGAGCCAAAGUCGCAGAGUGCUUCUGGAACGUCCACCAUGCCAAUGGAGAUCGGGAUGACGGGGCAUCCUGGAUCGCCUCUCUUGACCGGCAGAAGGUCAGUAGAGAAUUCAGUGACAGGGUUACUCCAAUUACCUGCAUCAAACAUAUCAACAAGAUUUGCAGAUUCUAAUCCUUCCGGUUGUGAUGGUAUACCGGGGUUAGUAGUAGGAAUAGCAGCAGCUAUUUGAUUUAACUGAGAUUCAAUCAUUUUAUUAAAGCUAAUUUGAUUCUUGAUGGCAGUAGAGAAAUUAUCUAUUCUAUUAUUUAUAUUUUCUAGCAUUUUAUCAUUAGAUGCCAAUUUCUUAGAUAGGUUAUCCAUUAGCUUUCCUUGAUUAGACACUAACUAUCUCAAAGGUGUAAAAUUACUAUUAUUGUUGUAAGAAUUGUUACCUUGAUAAUUACCUGAGUAGUUAGGCCUCUGUUGAUUCCAACCUUGAUUUUGUUGAGGACGGUUGUAGUAGUUGUUGUUAUUGUCGAUGUAGUUCACAUCCUCAAGUAUCUCAGGGCAGUGAUUGCCUGAGUGUCCAGUGUCUCCACACUCCUCACAAGUCAUGUGAGAGUCGUAGAUGUGCAUAACUUCUUUCUUGUCUCCAGCUCUAUCGUCAAGCUUCUUCAUGAGCAGGUCUAGCUUUACAGAUAGCAUGUCUACCUCCUUGAGCUGAUGCAUACCUCCACCUCUCUUGCGUGUCUGGGUUCUCUCUUCAUUCCAGCUUUGGUUGGAUGCCAUCUUCUCCACAAGAGCUGUGGCUUGUGAUAUAGUAAGUGAUAAGAAUGCUCCUCCAGCUGCAGCAUCAAUGGUUUCUCGGGCACUGUUGCCGAGCCCAUGAUAAAAUGUCUGCAUCAAUAGCCAACUCUCCAUUCCAUGAUGGGGACAUUCUAGGAUGUAGUCUUGAAAGCGCUCCCAUGCUUUUGGAACAGAUUCAUCAUUUUGUUGCUGAAAACUUGUAAUCUUCCCACGGAGAGCAUUGGUCUUGCCCAUGGGAAAGAACUUUGCUAGGAAGUUUGUUGAGCAGUGUGCCCACGUAGUAUUCUUCUCAUUUGUAGCGUAGAACCACUGCUUCGCUCUUCCUAACAGUGAGAAUGGGAAGAGGCGAAGUAGUAUAGCAUCUUUGGAAACUCCUGAUAUGGUGAAUGUGUUGCAAAUCUCCAGAAAGUGUUGUAAAUGAGCACUAGCAUCUUCGUGUGCCUUCCCACAGAACUGGUUGGAUUGCACCAUGUUGAUAAGUCCAGGCUUGAGCUCAAAGUUGCCAUCGAUCUCUGCAGCAGGUCCAGUGCGGAUGUUGUCCGUAGUGGGAGCUGAGAAUUCACGGAUUGAUUUGUUCGGCAUGGCUUCGAACUCUGAAGACAAGUUCCGGUGAUCUUCUUGAUUGGAUGAAGCUUCUUGCUAAAGUGUUGAUGAUCUCUUCUUGAGCUUUGCUCUCGUCUUCUUGAAUAAUGCUUCGGGAUUGUCAACAAAAUUUCCUAGAAGAUGUCUUCUAUUCAUACAUUCCCCUGCAUAAGAUAAAAUAGAAAAAUAUCGGGGUAAAACUGUAUGAGAGAAUAGAUAAGCUCAAUCAUAUUAGUGAUGCGAAUGAUAACUCAAAAUCUUUUAUUCUAUUCUUGAUUAUUAAUCAACCUUCCCCGGCAACGGUGCCAAAAAAUGCUUGUUGGGUAUUCUUAACAUCAUUACCAAAAGUAGACUAAGUUCUCUAAAUCUAGUAACGGUGCCAAAAAUGCCAAACCUAUCCCUCACACCACUUAAGCCAAGUUGUCAUCCCCAGCAUGAUAUAAGAGACGCGGUAUUGAAAUAUGCAAUUGCUCUUCUAAAUAAAUAAUGAAUGGGAUCUGCAAGCGCACAGAUUAAUACCGAUGUAGCAUUUUAACCAGGAAGUAUUCCAGGUAUCGUUAUUUAUAUUUUUACCACUGGGAAGGGAUUAGCAAUCAUCAUUAUUGAUUACAGAAUAGAAUAUGAGAUUGAGCAUCUAUCAUUGCAUGUAUAAUUGAGAACAUUUAUCUAACUCUUCAUACAGGGAUAAGUGUCACAUAAAAGAUAUAUGAAGUAAUUAUAGUGACAAGGAUAACUAAUCUGAUCUAGCCACAUAAUAAAUAUGAUAAGCACCUGAAUUAGAUACUCUAGAAAGUCAUUAGCAUGGUAUUAGAACGAACUACAAGAAUAUUCCCUAAGUUAUUCUCAACUAUAUAGUCUAGCAUAUCAUAGUUAGUGCAAGCAUACUUAGCAAUCAUUGCGAGACAAGACUACGCCCAUGCAUAGUGAUAUUAGCAAGGUAAAUGAGAAACAUAGCAAUCACUCCCCUGUAAUAAUGUUGCUCUGCCAGUCCAAUACACGAGGGCAGGAGGGCGGGCGCCCUGCCUCUGGCCCCGUUUCGCCUUCGCUUCGGUCUCGUGGCUUCUGGAGUGUUCUAGAUGUAAGAUAAUUGCGCGGCACGUUAAUAUCUCUAUGUAAUCCCGACGUGUGGGCCUUUCUUCCGUAUUUCCUGAUAACCCCCUGCAGAAAUAGACAAACACCAAAACUCGUGGAAUUCUGUCGGAUAAAACCCUAAGUUUGGAUCUUGAUUUCAUUUGGAUCCUUUUCUUUAUUUAUUUGAUAAUUAAAUUUGAUACUUAAGGACCGUCAACAGUGGGCAUCUUUGUGCCCCUAAUUCUACUAUGGACACUUGUCCAUUUUUACCUCUCGUCUCAUUUUUUCUUUUUCUUUUUCGAGGUUUCGGGCGCUUGCCCCUUUUUAUUUCCUCGCAUAUUUUUGCAUAACCCAUGCCUCUUCUACAUUGAAUCUUUUUUGGAGAGAGAGAAUAACAACACUUGGGACAGUGAGUGAUAAUAUUUUUUUUGCAAUUUUAAUAAAUGGUGGUGGAUGGUGUAGUAGAUGUGUGCAAGUGAAUAUCUUAAUUUAACCACAUGAAAAGCUCCUAAGGGUCUAGACAGCUCGAUCAAACUCAAUGCAAAAAUAAGUAGCAAAAGAUGUUAUAGCAAAUAUGGCUGUGGUAGGUAUUUUGUCAUGCUAGGAACUCAUCAUGUGAUUUGCAAGUUUUCAAAAUAAAUCUCCAGAACUUAGUGUAGUAGGAACUAGAUAAACAGUAGCUCAAACUUUAUAUCAUGCCUUUCUCUUGCCUAGACUUUAGUUUUAGGCUCAUGCUCCCAUAGAUAUUAAAUUUUAGGUUUUAGUAAUUCCUAGAAGAACGUUAAUAUAAAAGCUAGGUACUUGAAAGUAAGCAAACAGAGCAACUGUUCAUCAUUCCAUCAUGCAUCUUUUUAGUCUUUUUAUUUUUCUAGAGAUUAACACUUAGCAGAUAAAUAAAGCACACUUGUCUACACACUCUUUUUAUUUUGUUUUCAUGUUUAUAGAAUGCAGUAAAUUAAAGCAAUAAAAUAUUUAUUGGGUUUUCUAAGUUUUUUUUAUUUAAGAUAAAUAAAACAAUAAAACAAAAAACAAUAAAUAAGAUGAGUAAAUAAAAACUUACUUGAUAAAAUGGGGAGAAACUCUGCCAAGCUAGAUGUGGUUGUCGGUCUUACCCAAUGUUUCAAAAUCGCAUCAUGGUGGUGAUAUUGUCGUUUAUUGUUGUAGUGUCUUGCCUCAGUUCUUGUGCUGCAGCGGCGUGGUCCUGGUUCCACUUUUGUUGCUGUUCUAGGAGUCGUCCAUGUUCUGCUUGCGUAUUCUGGAUGUCGAGAAGUGUGUUGUCGGUGCGGGGGAAGAAGGCGCCGACCUCUUGGUAGUAGUCGUUCGUGAAAGCAUAAGAGGCGCCGGAGUACUGUCCUGCAUCGAAUUGAGGCUAGGGUCUAGACCCUGAAGCUCCAAAUUGAUCAGUGGAGUACCUGCCCGUAUGGAAAGGCGGGUUUGUCCACUGGUGAUCUUGGCCCUCCGGCCAUGUCUCAUGUGUUGGCUCUUGUGGUUGAGCAUGUCGAACCCAGAGGUCCCGAAGGACUCGGGGUUGUAGUCGCAAUAAUGCAGGUGCGCUGCUUCUUCCGGCCCGGGAUCAGCUCCAUACCAGAUGCGUUCUUGAUGAGUGGUCAUCCUUUCAGAUGUCACUCGCUGUGGAGCUCUCUGGUUUACCAGUGCCACUGCAAUCUCAAUCAAAUGAUUUUGAAUGAUAUAGAGGCCAUGGUUCAGGUUAGGUAACCAAAUCUUGUCUUUAUUAUCAUAUAACAUAUACAUUAUGUUCCCCUCUUUUUUCAACAUCCGAGCUUGCCUAAAUGUGUCAUAGCCAUGGUAAAUUCGUAACUCGUCAAUGAAUUCCAGUGACGAGUUUUCUAGCAAAUUAAGAUUAGAAGCUAGACGAGUGAUGAGUGAAGUACAACCGACAGGUCCCUAAAGACUAGGUAUACUGAGCCAGUGAGAAACCAAGAGAGUAAUAGGUGAAGUGGGUAUUUUAUUUAUAGCAGCAUAUAGAUGUUGUAAAUCUCCUACUCUUACUUUUCUAAUAUCAUCACGAUGUAAAAGAUUGUACCCGAGCCAUUUGUGGAACAUCCUAAGAGUGGGGUGUUCCAUGUCACUGGUUCGGGCUUGACUAUAAAACUCAUCUCUAGAUAUCUCUCUCCAGAACUGGUGUCUUUCAAAAUUGGGUAUGUCGGAGUCAAUGUCCAGGAUGCAUCUUGAAGAGAAACCAAGAUGGUCGCUCAAUUCUCUCCAAGACAACAUAAUGUCCUGUUUGAACAUCCGAAUAGCGAUUCCCCCCCUCAUAAUAUUGUAAAGUGCAAAGAAAUCCAGUGGUGAGAAGACGGGAACCCAGCUCAGUUAUGUUCCAAAAAUUUGUCCAUCCCACCAUCUGGAAAAUUAAGUCAAAUUCAGUAUCUAUACAUGUUUCUUGUAGCAGGAUAGGAUCAAGAGUGGGGGUGUGAAUGAAAUCCUUGUUCUUUAGCUGCUGGUAAACUUCCUUCUUCCUGCGGGUCUUCAGUCCAAGGUCUGCUAUCUUGAGGAGGACCUUGACUUGCGGAUCAGAUGAAGAUGACGGAGCUUGCGGGGGCAUCGGGUCGACUCUCAUCUCUGACUGGUGCGAGGAGUGUCGGGACAAACUCCUCGUACCUAUGUUCUUGAAGGCCUUGCCCGCGUUCUUCACCUUCUUGACCAUCCUGUAGACAAAAGUUGACACAAACACAACUAGUGCAAAAUGUGAGAGAAAACAAAUGUUAGUGGUCUGCUGUCCGAAAUGUCAGUAGUCCAGGGGUUAGUUGUUCAAGACAAGUUUUUAUUUUGGCAGCACCUCCCCCUAAACAACUUUUACUUUCGCUCUGGACAGUGGGAUCACUACUUACUAGGUGAACCUUACUCUCUCACUAAAAGACUACCAACCUUCCUUUCACUCUUCUCUUUCUCUCCUCUCUCCUUCUUACUUCACUAUAAGAGCUCCUUCUCUGGAAAUUGAAAACUGUGUGGUUUUCUGGGAUGCUUGUGUGAAGAGGUUGGAGGCCAGAAGUGGCUUUUUAUAGGCUGAAGGGGGGACAGGGCGGGUGCCCUCUGUAGGUGGGCAGGCGCCCACCUCUGGUGGCCAUCCUGGCUGCCUUUUCUCCACUCCCUCCAUUGCUUAGCUCUUACGUAGAAUAAUGUUGAGUGGAUGGUGGUUGGUUAGUGGAAAGAUGCUGGUGAGUGGAAACAUGUUGGUGGAUCACAAGAUGUGGUGUAUGACAUGUGGGACCCAAGGAGUGUGGGUCAUGCUUCUAGACGGUUGCUAUAAUUAAAUAUAAUGCAGGAAAAUUUAUGAGAAUUGAAACUUAUUUGAAAUGAUAAUGAAAAAUAUGUUUGUGCCUCCACAAUAAUUAAUAAAUAUGGGUUGUCACGCACCAUAAAUAUUAUUUAUAUGGGGCUUUUGAUUAUUAUAAUAAUGUGAUGAAUAAAUAUGACUAAUGCAAGAAUUAAUUAUGCAAGAAUUUAAACAUUGUGGAUAAAUACCAAUUUACCUCCCGGCGAGGGUUUGGGAUUUUUAGGUCCCCCAAGCUGGACCUCCAAAUCUUUUAAUCUUCUGAAUUACCUUCCUCUGAAGAUGGUGUCUCUAGUGGUUCUUCUUCAUGAACUUCCUUCACUGUAGAGUCUCUCUCUGGUCUAGGCUUGAAUGUGAAGUGUUCUUCUUUUCCGUUUAUGUUGAACUUGAUUUCUCCCUUUCCGACAUCAAUGUGGGCAUUGGUAGUGCUCAGAAAAGGCCUUAAAAGGAUGAUGGACACUUUUGAGUCAGGACUCAUGUCCAGUACCACGAAGUCUACUGGCACAAGGAAGUCUCUUAUCUUGACUGGAAUGUUUUUGGCGAUGCCUAACGGGUGUCGAACUGAUUGAUCUGCUAGUUGUAGGCACAUUGAUGUUGGUUCUAGGGUCGUAUGCUCAAGCUUCUCGUAGACUGAUGCUGGCAUCACACUGACACUUCCUCCGAGAUCACAAAGUGCAUUAUUGAAGUGUUGGUUUCCGAUCGAGCAAUCAAUGGUGGGGCAUCCUGGAUCCUUCUUUUUCCUUGGUGGUUUAUUGAGGAUGGCCACACCGCAUUCUUCUGUCAGCUUGAUAACCUCAGUGGUGGGCAGUGGUCUCUUCUUGGUAAGAAUAUCUCUGAUGUACUUUGCAUAUGUGGGUACCUGUAUGGCAUCAAGUAGAGGUAUGUUGACAUAUAAUUUCUGAAUGACCUCUACAAACUUAUCAAACUGCUCAUCCGACUGCAGUCCUCUGUUUCUUCUAGGAAAUGGCAAAUAGUUGGUGUCAUAAAAAUCUUUCCUCAUUUCUCCAUCUCUCGGUGGUUGGAGCAGAUCUUCUGCUUCAACUGAGUUUUCUUCUUCUAUCAUUGCUGGUUGCACUGGUGCUGUUGUUCUCUGUUUCUCUUUUGGGUAUGGGGGAUCCCUGUUGGCUUUGCCUCCCCUAGUAGUUAUGUUCUUUACCUGCUCAGUGUUAGUGGCAACAGACAAUGCAGUAGCUAGCUUUAUUAAUUUAAGCUCUACCCUUUUAUUAAGAGUGUUUUGCUCAUCAAAGGCAGUUAAUAGAAAAUCCAUUUUAUUGUGUAUAUCUUUCAGAGAUGAUUCAUUUGUAUCUAGCCUUUGUUUAACUUCAUCAUUAGUUUUGGUUUGUUGAGCAAUUAUCUCUUUUAGUGAAAGUUGCUUUAAAAUGUUACCUGAAUUCAUACCUUUGCUAUUGGGUUGACUCGAAGUAGGUUGAUAUUUGUAUGCUGUCUCAAUGGCCCUUUGAUCUUCUUUGAACAUGGCUCUCUGGUCAAUCCAAUGGAGCAAAUUUUCCAUCUUGGUUGAUAGUGCAUUUACUUCUUCUGGUAUUUCUUCAGUUUGAUGACAUUGUUGAGCUUUAUCUUGGAACCAUCUUUGGUUUUCUGCUAUCUCGUCCCAAAGUAUCUCUGCUUUUCCAAUUGUAAGCUCCAAAAACGAUCCCUUAGCAGAUGCAUCUAGGCAUUCACGAGCCUUCUGGGUUAAUCCAUGGUAGAAGGUCUGCAUAAGUAACCAUUUAGCCAUUCCAUGGUGAGGACAAUCUGAUAUGUAUCCUUGAAAGCACUCCCAUGCUUCUAGAAUGGUUUCUGUUUUCUACUGUUGGAAAAUAACAAUAUUUCCUCUUAAGGAAGUUGUCUUGCCCAUAGGGAAAAACUUUGAUAGAAAGGAAUCUGACAAGUUCGUCCAGUUGUUGAUGUUUUCUUGAUGGGUGUAGAACCACUUCCUCGCCUUCCAUUCUAGUGAGAAUGGAAAAAGGCGAAGCAGUAUGACGUCUUUGUCAACUCCGUUGAUGCGGAUUGUGCUUCCAAUCUCUAAGAAAUUCUACAAGUGUGCACUAGCAUCUUCGUGUGCCUUUCCACUGAAUUGUGUAGCUUGCACCAAAUUGAUGAGGCUUGACUUGAGCUCAAACUUGGGAGCUCCUUCUUCUACUGCAAAUCUUGGACCAGUUGGAAUGUUCUCAAGACUUGGAGCAGAGAAUACUUGCAAGGUCUUUUGUGCCAUAGCUUCAGCAAUUGGUAGGUAACUUCUUCUUUCUUCUUGAUUGCUUUGGUUCUGAUGAUGAAGAGUUGAAUGUACCAAAGUCAAUCCUGAUAUACCCUGUAUAAAAAUAUAAACAUAGAAAAACAACAGGGUGAACCUGCCAAAGCAGAGGUGCCUUGUUAUGAUUUCUCACUUAGUAGCUAUUUUAUGCAAUUAUUUCUCCAUAGUCUAGUCUAAUAUUUUAUGUGAAUAACCUUGACUGACUUCCUGACUUUCCUUACUGUUCCUAUGUGUUUUCCCUGGCAACGGCGCCAGAAAUGCUUUUUGACACUUACUAACACCACUUGAAUACUAGGUUGUCAUCCCCAGCAUGGUGCCAGAGUGUACAAAGGUAUUUAUGAAUGUAAAGACUCUCUAGAAAAUAAUCUAUUCUAUCCGCAAGCGCACAGAUAAAAUACCUCAUUGUAGCAUUUCACAAGAAAAUAUUCCGGGUAUCGUUCAACCAUAGUGGAGGUAAAUAAAAUCUAUCAAGGCAUAGACUAGAGAUAAACUUGCAAGAACAUGAUUACUAAUGAGGAACUCAUCACACAGUCACUUGCUUUAGCAGGGGGUAAACCAUAAUAAUGAUAAUGGAAUAUAAGCUCAUGGGUAAAUAACACAGCGAUUAGAAAAUAGACUACUCCUCAUAUAUGUAAGGUGACGUCAGAUUAGCUAGAGAAUGGAUUCUAAGUUAUCUACUAUCUACUAAGUCACAAUCUACUCUAAUUAUCUACAAUAUCAUAUAUAGCAUAAAAGACUCUUCAUUCAUGUAUAAGGAACAUUGCUAAAGUAAAUCAGAACAUCGCAAGACUUACUCCGCAAUACAAAUUCUGCCUGUCCUAUCAACGGAGGGUGGACUAUAUAAGAAUCAACAAAGCUGUCACUAUCGCGAACUACCACACGACUCGACCAAUAGGAUACAUUUGCAGGUAAAUAACAUCUAAGCACCACGCCCACAUGUGAUCUACCACUUAACUCCCACGCGUCAAGAGCUAAGCGUUUUGCAAACUUAUACAUAAACUCAGUAUCAAUCAUAACUAUAUCAAAUAUAGAACUAGAGCAAACUAAGAACAUAAUAAAUAGAGACAUAAUGCAAUUAGAAUAAAGUAGUAGAGAAAGAUAUGAAAUAAUACCAAUCUUUAUUAACGAAGAUCCGAAUCCAGAGCGCUAGGCUCUACUUCUCUAAUUCUAUCUAAUCAAUCCUAAAGAACUUGAAGGAUUAGGGAGUAGCUAAUUCUAAUUCUCUGUGGGAGAGAAGUUCUAAAACCCUAACUUUGAUGGCUUCCUCUGAUAAUGAUUUUCUCCUCCUCCCCUGGGGUGGAGAGGCCUUGCUUAUAUAGCCCCCUCAAGUGAAUGUGGGCCAUCGGAUCAAACCGACAUUGAUCGCACAGUUAUUCUUGAAGAUUAGAGGCGGUGGAGCACGAUCCAGGAGACCUACUCUGAUUGGCCACCAGAGCAGAGCGGGCGCCCCGGGCCCGUUGUUGACGGUCCUUAAGUACCAAAUUUAAUCAUCAAAUAAAUAAAAAAAGGAUCCAAAUGCAACCAACAUCCAGACUUAGGGUUUUAUGUGACAGAAUUGCACGAGUUUUGGUGUUUGUCUAUUUCUGCAGGGGUUAUCAGGAAAUAUGGAGGAAAGGCUCACACGUCGGGAUUACAUAGAGAUAUUAACAUGCCUCGCAAUUUUCUAUCAUCUAGAAGACUCCAGAAGCCACGGGAACGAACGGGAAGCCGAGCGGGCUCGGGGACAGGGCGCCCGCCCUCCCACCUUGGGCGCCCGUCCUGCUAUAGGAACCAAUCACGUUCAACCUCGUGGAUUAUGCUCCACCGACCUAAAGGAUCAAGGAAAACCGUGCGAUUAAGGUCGGUUUGAUCCGACGGCCUAGAUUCAAUUGAGGGGACUAUAUAAGCAGACCCCCUGGCCCCUAGAGGAGGCACCCCUUCAUCCUUAUUCAUUAUUCAUAGACACAGCAAAAGCUAGGGUUUGGAGAUGAGAGCUCUCCUCUCAUCUCUAAACUAGAGUAGAUCUAGAUAGUAGCGAGAUGGAGAGCGAGGGAGGAUUGGAGGAGAGGCCGGCCUGUCGGUUCUUCCUCCGGUUGUACUUCGCCAUGAUCAAGCUCUAAUCAAGCUUGCUCAUGGGAUGACUCUGGUAAUCUACUUCUAUUCCAUUGUGCAAUUACUAUUCAUGUAUGUUCUGGUUCAAACUCUUUUGAGUACUUUUAAUCUAUAGGACCCUAUAGGUUAGAGUUGUAGUAUAGGUGUAAGUGUGGUGCUUAGCCCUAGAUUACUUGUGGAUAUCCCCUGUCUAGCCGGAUCGUGUGGUAGGCCGCGUGGGUGACAGCUACGUUGGUCCACUGUAGUCCACCUCCCGUUAGCAGGACUGGUAGGGUUUAUCGGCCUAUGGAUAAGCAUCCUUUGUGGUGUAUUCUUAUCACGUGGUUCGUCCCAGACAUAGACAUAGCCCUUUGAAGUAGAGAAACCAUAGUUAUCAUCUCUAUUCUCCUACCAUCGCCCAUAUACUAGAUUGCUCCACUCUCUAUUCCUAUAUUAUCACCCAUUGUUAUCUUACCUUUAAUAUUGUUCUUAUUCAAUUCUACCAUCUUUCCUAUUUACACCAAUCUAUCUAUCUUGGUUAAGUUAGAGCGUAGUUAGUUCUCCCGUUUCCGUGUGGAUACGAUAAAACCUUUAACCGAGUAAAAGCUACAACGGUAUCCGUGCGCUUGCGGAUUUAUCUGUGUGCGUAUAAAUACCAUAGUACACUCUAGUGCCAUGCUGGGGAUGACAACCUAGUAUUCAAGUGGUGUUAGCAAGUGUCAACAAGCUUUUGGCGCCGUUGCCGGGGAGACGGUUGCUGAGUUGACUACGAAAUAGCUUAAUGAUUUCCUAAAAAAAUAAAAAAAUAAAAAAUAUACUUUUCCUUUUAUCUUUUGCCUUAUCUCUGCUAUUCUUUAUUCUUAUCUAAUCCUUGAUCUCUGUUCUAUCAUGAAUUCAAACAUUUCUAUCUAUGAAUUUCAUAGACCUACGAGCACACAUCUCGAACCACCAAAAUCUUCAAAGCCUAUCAUAGCAUCUAGUUUUGAGAUAGACCCCGAAUACAUAGAAUUUGUUCAAAAACAACCUUUCUCAGGAGAAGGUGAGGAAAACCCAUACACACACCUAAGAGAGUUUUAUCGAGUCUGUGACCUCCUUCGCGUAGAAGGCAUGUCCGAUGAGACCCUUAAAUGGAAGCUCCUUCCGUUCUCUUUAAGAGGAAAAGCUAGACAUUGGUGUUGACGGUCCUUAAGUACCAAAUUUAAUCAUCAAAUAAAUAAAGAAAAGGAUCCAAAUGCAACCAACACCCAGACUUAGGGUUUUAUCUGACAGAAUUCUAUGAGUUUUGGUGUUUGUCUAUUUCUGCAGGGGGUUAUCAGGAAAUAUGGAAGAAAGGCCCACAUGUCGGGUUUACAUAGAGAUAUUAACGUGCCGCGCAAUUUUCUAUCAUCUAGAAGGCUCCAGAAGGCACGGGAACGAACGGGAAGCCGAGCGAGCUCAGGGACAGGUCGCCCGCCCUACUCCUUAGGGCGCCCGCCCUACUUUUUCCACCAAUCAUGAUCAACCUCGCGGAUUAUGCUCCACCGACCUAAAGGAUCAACAAAAACCAUGCGAUUAAUGUCGGUUUGAUCCGACGACCCAGAUUCACAUGAGGGGACUAUAUAAGCAGACCCCCUAGCCCAUGGAGGAGGCACCCCUUGAUCCCUAUUCAUUAUUCAUAGACAGAGCAAAAGCAAGGGUUUGGAGAUGAGAGCUAUCCUCUCUUCUCUAAACUAGAGUAGAUCUAGAUAGUAGCGAGAUGGAGAGCGAGGGAGGAUUGGAGGAGAGGCCGGCCUGUCGGUUCUUCCUCCGGUUGUACUUCGUCAUGAUCAAGCUCUAAUCAAGCUUUCUCAAGGGAUGACUCUGGUAAUCUACUUCUAUUUCGUUAUGCAAUUACUAUCCAUGUAUGUUCUGGUUCACAACUCUUUUGAGUACUUUAAUCUAUAGGGCGCUAUAGGUGAGAGUUGUAGUACAGGUGUAAGCGUGGUGCUUAGACCUAGAUUACCUGUGGAUACCCCCUGUCUAGCCGGAUCGUAUGGUAGGCCACGUAGGUGACAGUUACGUUGGUCCCCUAUAGUCCACCUCCCAUUAGCAGGACUGGUAGGGUUUAUUGGCCUAUGGAUAAGCAUCCUUUGUGGUGUAAUCUUAUCACGUGGUUCGUCCCAAACAUAGACAUACCCCUUUGAAGUAGAGAAACCAUAGUUAUCCUGUCUAUUCUCCUACCAUCGCCCAUAUACUAGAUUGCUCUACUCUCUAUUCCCAUUUUAUCACCCAUUGUUAUCUCACCUUUAAUAUUAUUCGUAUUCAAUUCUUCCAUCUUUCCUAUUUACACCUACCUAUCUAUCUAGGUUAAGUUAGAGCGUAGAUCAGCUCUCCCGUUUCCCUGUGGAUACGAUAAAACCUUUAACCGGGUAAAAGCUACAACAGUAUCCGUGCGCUUGCGGAUUUAUCUGUGUGCGUAUAAAUACCAUAGUACACUCUAGUGCCAUGCUGGGGAUGACAACCUAGUAUUCAAGUGGUGUUAGCAAGUGUCAACAAGCUUUUUGGCACCGUUGCCGGGGAGACGGUUACUGAGUUGACUACGAACUAGCUUAAUCAUUUUCUAAAAAAUAAAAAAAAUAUAUUUUUCCUUUUAUCCUUUGCCUCAUCUCUACUAUUCUUUCUUCUUAUCUAAUCCUUGAUUUCUGGUCUAUCAUGAAUGCAAACAUGUCUAUCUAUCAGUUUAAUAGACCUACGGGCACACAUCUCGAACCACCAAAAUCUUCAAAGCCUAUAAUAGCAUCUAGUUUUGAGAUAGACCCCGAAUACAUAGAAUUUGUUCAAAAACAACCUUUCUCAGGAGAAUGUGAGGAAAACCCAUACACACACCUAAGAGAGUUUUAUCGAGUCUGUGACCUCCUUCGCGUAGAAGGCAUGUCCGAUGAGACCCUUAAAUGGAAGCUCCUUCCGUUCUCUUUAAGAGGAAAAGCUAGACAUUGGUGUUGACGGUCCUUAAGUACCAAAUUUAAUCAUCAAAUAAAUAAAGAAAAGGAUCCAAAUGCAACCAAAACCCAGACUUAGGGUUUUAUCUGACAGAAUUCCAUGAGUUUUGGUGUUUGUCUAUUUCUGCAGGGGGUUAUCAGGAAAUAUGGAAGAAAGGCCCACAUGUCGGGUUUACAUAGAGAUAUUAACGUGCCGCGCAAUUUUCUAUCAUCUAGAAGGCUCCAGAAGCCACGGGAACGAACGGGAAGCCGAGCGAGCUCAGGGACAGGGCGCCCGCCCUACUUUUUCCACCAAUCAUGAUCAACCUCGUGGAUUAUGCUCCACCGACCUAAAGGAUCAACAAAAACCGUGCGAUUAAUGUCGGUUUGAUCCGACGACCCAGAUUCACAUGAGGGGACUAUAUAAGCAGACCCCCUAGCCCAUGGAGGAGGCACCCCUUGAUCCCUAUUCAUUAUUCAUAGACAGAGCAAAAGCAAGGGUUUGGAGAUGAGAGCUAUCCUCUCUUCUCUAAACUAGAGUAGAUCUAGAUAGUAGCGAGAUGGAGAGCGAGGGAGGAUUGGAGGAGAGGCCGGCCUGUCGGUUCUUCCUCCGGUUGUACUUCGUCAUGAUCAAGCUCUAAUCAAGCUUUCUCAAGGGAUGACUCUGGUAAUCUACUUCUAUUUCGUUAUGCAAUUACUAUCCAUGUAUGUUCUGGUUCACAACUCUUUUGAGUACUUUAAUCUAUAGGGCGCUAUAGGUGAGAGUUGUAGUACAGGUGUAAGCGUGGUGCUUAGACCUAGAUUACCUGUGGAUACCCCCUGUCUAGCCGGAUCGUGUGGUAGGCCACGUAGGUGACAGUUACGUUGGUCCCCUAUAGUCCACCUCCCAUUAGCAGGACUGGUAGGGUUUAUUGGCCUAUGGAUAAGCAUCCUUUGUGGUGUAAUCUUAUCACGUGGUUCGUCCCAAACAUAGACAUACCCCUUUGAAGUAGAGAAACCAUAGUUAUCCUGUCUAUUCUCCUACCAUCGCCCAUAUACUAGAUUGCUCUACUCUCUAUUCCCAUUUUAUCACCCAUUGUUAUCUCACCUUUAAUAUUAUUCGUAUUCAAUUCUUCCAUCUUUCCUAUUUACACCUACCUAUCUAUCUAGGUUAAGUUAGAGCGUAGAUCAGCUCUCCCGUUUCCCUGUGGAUACGAUAAAACCUUUAACCGGGUAAAAGCUACAACAGUAUCCGUGCGCUUGCGGAUUUAUCUGUGUGCGUAUAAAUACCAUAGUACACUCUAGUGCCAUGCUGGGGAUGACAACCUAGUAUUCAAGUGGUGUUAGCAAGUGUCAACAAGCUUUUUGGCACCGUUGCCGGGGAGACGGUUACUGAGUUGACUACGAACUAGCUUAAUCAUUUUCUAAAAAAUAAAAAAAAUAUAUUUUUCCUUUUAUCCUUUGCCUCAUCUCUACUAUUCUUUCUUCUUAUCUAAUCCUUGAUUUCUGGUCUAUCAUGAAUGCAAACAUGUCUAUCUAUCAGUUUAAUAGACCUACGGGCACACAUCUCGAACCACCAAAAUCUUCAAAGCCUAUAAUAGCAUCUAGUUUUGAGAUAGACCCCGAAUACAUAGAAUUUGUUCAAAAACAACCUUUCUCAGGAGAAGGUGAGGAAAACCCAUACACACACCUAAGAGAGUUUUAUCGAGUCUGUGACCUCUUCGCAUAGAAGGCAUGUCCGAUGAGACCCUUAAAUGGAAGCUCUUUUCGUUCUCUUUAACAGGAAAAGCUAGACAUUCGUACAAACUCAAAGUAGGGAGUGUUCAUGGAGAUUGGAAUGAGUUAUAUAAUAGUUUUCUUUUUAAAUAUUUUCCAAUCUCCAAAGUGGCGGAACUUCAACGUGAGAUUAUUUCUUUUAGACAACUGGAAGAAGAAUCUCUUGGCAAAUCAUGGGACCGCUUUAUUAACCUUACUCUCACUGGCCCAAAGCUUUCUAUUCUAGAAGAAGUUCUUCUAAUUCACUUUUUUGAGGGCCUUAGUAGGGAAAAUAAGCAAACCUUGAAUACAGCCUCUAGAGGAUCCUUCUACCACCUACUUGCUAGUGAAGCUAGGGAUUUAAUUGAUUCAUUGAGUGGAAAGUUUCCUAGUAUUUAUAUCCCUGAGAAAGAGAAAGAACCCGUUCCUAGACAAGAACAAGAAGUUUCGAUAGCCAGAUCACAACCACUUCAAUCCCAAACUUUAGCUAUUGAUCCAAAACCAUCAAUACCCCAAAAUUCUCCAAGGGAGGAAGGAAUUCCAACCUUAAAUCUUUCAGAUGCUGAUGGUUUAGACUUCUGGUUCCAUAAGAGACCUUCAAGCAGGGAUAAUUCACAUCCUUAAAAUAAUGGUUCUCUUAGAGAAUGUCCCGGUUCCUGUUAUGAAGAAGUCAAGGAUGACAUAUCAAGUGAAGGAGAGCUAAGCCAUAUAGAAGAUUCUAUCUACUCCCCUUCCAUGUUCACAAAUUCUAAAUCCAUCCUUGACCUUAGAGACCCCUCUUAUCCCUCUCCUUUUUAGUCUCAUGAUGAUCCUAGCAAUCCAUCAAGACGAUCAAACCAUAGGAGUCAUAAAGACCAUGAGGAUGACAUGUCAAGUAAUGUCAUAGAAGGAGAGCUAAGCCAUAUAGAAAAUUCUAACACCUCACCUUUCCUGAUCACAAGUUCUAAAUGGCUAGAAUGUGUAGAAUGGAUGGAUAAGGAAGAAGCCUUAAUGGAUUCUGACUUUGGCUCAAUUUCAAAUGGUGAGUUCCUGACUCCCUUUGAAGAUGAGAUACAUCCAACUACAGAAGAGGACAUAGGUGAGACCAAUCCAGGAGAAACUCUGAACAUUCAGAUUGGAGACGAAGAUAACAUUAAUGAGCAUGGAAUUUAUUUCAUAGCCACUUCGUUUACUCCAUGCUCAUAUGCAACAUUUUCCCAAUCUAUUGGUCUCUCCAACAUCACCACAUUUGAGAUCUCGAACCCCCUCUUCCUUUCUAUUUAUAAAAACUUUAAAAGGGCGGUUGUCGAUGCAUAUGUCUAUAAUAAAUAUUGCAGAUCUUGUUGAGUUGAUCUUGAUAUAGGUCAGCGUCGGAAGGGAAACCACUUCGCCGACAUAAAUUGAUGGUUUCCCAAGGACAAGCUUAGUGUCCUGAAAUAAUCACUAAUCAGAUCGUAACAUGAGCUUUCAAUUAUUUACAACAUUACCUUGUGUAUUGAGCAUAUAAGGAUAAUUGUAAAAAUAUUCCUUUGGGUAUUCUUGUCAGUAACCUUUCCAGGAUUGGAGCAAGAAGAUUGGUUGAAUGACAAGCACAAGGUAUGUCCAACCAAUCAUCAUACAACAGUGAAUUAAAUUCAAACUUGAAUUUUGCAAAAUUCAAGCUUGGGGGAGUACUUUACAUAGAAACAUCAUUUGCCAUGUUGCUAUGUUGGUUGUCCCUACCUUUGAGACAUGCUCAAUUUGUUAAAUACUAAUCACACUACUUUAUCUCCACUUGAGUAGAUCUCUAUAAAUACCAUCACACUACCUUUGUUUAUCCUAGUAAGUGUUAGGUUGGAAGUACUGCACGUACUUCUAUUGGCUUUUAAAUUAAGCAUGGUGCUUAGGUUAAACAGCCUUCCUUAUUCUGAUUAGACAAGGAGUCUAGUUUGGUUAUUGAACUAAGAACUGCUUGUGUAGACAUUGGUAUAUUAUGUUGGACUAACCCCUGCAGAAAAACAUUCAAUAUCGAUUUGGGAAGUCCUGAGAUAAACUCACAUCGGAGAUGAAGAGAGAGACACAUGAAGUUUAACAAUUGGCACAAGAAGGACAUAGCUCAUUCAUCAUAAGAGAUGAUCCAUGGAGGGUGCCACAAACACGAUGCACAACCGCUAACAAAGGAAAGCUUCCACAAGGUGACACUGUACCAUCACUCUUCAAGUAAGGUAACAUCUUAAGGUACUUGACUAUCACUUUUAUAAGCUUCUCAUUGGUUGUAGCAUUUACAUGAAUAAAAGAGACAAACGUGUAUGAUUUACAACUCUAGAUUAACCAACCCAAUCGAUUCAACAUGUUUAGUCCUUCCACCUUUGUGAUCCCACACUCCUAAUCAUAUGAGCUAAAAUGUUACACACUCAAUCUUUGGAAGAUAUAUAAGAAACAUAAAUAUAGAUAGAUUAUCUUUCCAUUAGGUUGAGUGAUCUGAUCUGACAAUUGUUUUAAAUGCUACACUCAUGAGCUUAUCACCCAUCAACUUUGUCUUGCUCCCUAUGCUUAAGGAUAGAGAAGGAUAAAUAUACUUUUGGUUCUGUUGGUGUUUUCCACCAACAGGACCCAUGCACUUGAUCUCUUCCUUGUCUCUAUGAGCAGGACACAUUUUGAGAAACAUGGAGGAUUUUUAAACUCCUAGACUCUACCAAGUGAAGGACGUGGAUCUACGAGCACAAAUAAACUGAGCAAGAUACUGCCAACGCAGCACUUCGAACUGCUGGGCAAACGAAGAACAUGGGUGACACUGCAUCAAGAGGUGCAGACGUCAAGGUCCACACCUGAAUCAAACGACGCACCUGAAGAAUGAACACGGUGAGAAGUCUUGUUCAGAAGACUUAAAACAUUGAAUCCUCGCCGAAAGGUAAAAACGGUAGUUAUCCAUAUUUAUCCUUUUUGAAUUCCCUUUUCCCUUAAAUUAUUUACUUUCCUUAAAUACCUUGUUAGUUAAUCAUGCUAUCUUGAAAAGAAAAUAAAAAUGUUAAAAAUAGUAAGCCCCAUGUGAGUAUGCUCGUGGCAUAAAACCCAUAAGUACAUUCACUGUGGUGGCGUAAAAAUAAAAAUAUUCAUGUCCUAUGAAAAUGAAAAUAUAAAAAUAAAUUUAUGAUCCUACCAAAGAGAGUAAUAUUUAUUAGAGGAAGCUCAACAUGAUAAAGGCAAAGAUAUUUUUAUGCUAACACUUAACCAGUUCCACAAAGCUUUGUUGUCUAUUUGAGCUCCACAGAAUUUAAGGAUCAAAGAAGACUAGCAGACGGAGGACAUCCUAAUCACUGUCAGGGUACUGCCGACAUUCAAAUACACCUCUGCCACCUGCUAGCUACAUCAGAAGAAAUUACAUCAAAAUCCACCUUGGGGGGAGAGCACCCCAUUUAUCCAGCUAAGUGUUUCUACUCGCGUUUAUACUUUACUCAAAUAAUAAAAAGAUGCAUAAUCAUAAACACCCAAAUAAAGAUUUUUGGGCUUAUAUAUAUAUAUAUAUCUUUGCUUAGUUUGCUAAAUAAAUAAAUAAAGUUUGCUAUGAACCCUCAUGAUAAGCUCUCACAUGGAAAUGAUGAAUAGUUGCUCUGCCAUGACUAGUUCUCAAAAUUGAAAUCUCUCUCAAGUUUAGGCAUGACUGUUAUGAAUUAAGAAUUGCUCUAAACCUGAACUUGUGGGAAGAGUACUUGAUCUAAAGUCUAAGUCGUUAACGGAUAUGAUAUGGGAAGGUUGAUCUGCUGUUUAUCUGUUCCUAGAGAUGCUAGAAUUCUAGAGAAUUUUAUCUUUCAAAAUCUUUAAAAUGUUGCAUGAUGAGUUCUUGUAUGAUGAGAGUUUAAAAUCCUACCACAGCCAUAUAUACAUGCUUAUUAGACUAUGAACCAUAUAUGUACUUUUUACUGCUUAUGAGCAUUGUGGUCAAGCUGUGUAGACCCUUAGGAGCUUGUCAUGCGGUUAAAAUCAAGAUUCACUUGCACGUUCACUCAUACAUGCUGCUUCUACUCCGGAAGUACGCAUCCACAUACAUCCACUCAUUUCCAUCUCUAGAUUCACCCAAAAUAUAUUCUACUCCUAUCCAGGAGAGAAUAGCCAAAAACAUUAUCCUAUCCCUGUUAUUCCCCAUGAAAUAAAUGCUCGAGAUAUUUUGGUUACUACCACUUGCUACAUUAUUCCAGGAUUGUGAGUGCUCUAAAAAAGAGAGAAAAAAAGUUAAAAUCAGGAAAUAAAAAGGGGCAAGUGCCCGGAACCUCGAAGAAAAAAAAGAGUGAGACGAGAGGUAAAAAUGGACAAGUGUCCGAUAGUAGAAUUAGGGGUACAAGAUACCCACCUGAGAGAAAAGAAAAAAAUAUAGAGCAUCUCAUUCCCCUCAAAAAGCUUCAAAGUGCAAAAAAGGUAUGUAUCCCCUCAAAAAAGCAAAAGUAGAAUUAGACUUUCACCAUUGUUUUCACCACUAUCACCAUCAUCACCAUACACCAUUCAUUCGCCACACAUGCAUAUCUUGAUUUGACUUAUUGACUUGUUUCUCUGGAUCCAUGGUUUGACUAUGCAAUAAAUGUCUUGUAAGUAUGUAUUAGCUGUCUCCCACCUAUGAGCUCCAGAUAUCAAAACCUUAUUAGAGUAGGGUGAGAGAGAAGGCAAUGUCACUAUGCCUCAUACCAAAAAUAUCACAUGCUUUGAGAGAAGGCAAAUACCAUCACUGCCUUGGUAAGGAUCCAAAAAUACCACAAAAGAGAGAAUUGAGAGAGUCAUACAAGGAAUCUCUGAGUUUUAUUUUGAAAAUCUGCAAAAAACUCCAGAGCUAUAGCUGAUCAAGAAUAAGAGACAUGGUGCUUGACUAGACUGUUCUAUCUUUUUACUGCUCAAGACACAAGUGACGAUUGCAAGCCCCAUGGUGGAAGGAAAAAUGAGUAAGUUUAAAUCUUAACAGUUUACCCUAACCCAGAGAUGAGAUCUUGUUUGAACGCAUGUGUACCUUUAAGGCAUGAAACCAUUGCAGAAACUCUUGAGUCCAUCCUUGCUCAGGGACGAGCAAGAGGUAAGCUUGGGGGAGUUGUUGACGGUCCUUAAUUACCAAAUUUAAUCAUCAAAUAAAUAAAGAAAAGGAUCCAAAUGCAACCAACACCCAAACUUAGGGUUUUAUCUGACAGAACUCCACGAGUUUUGGUGUUUGUCUAUAUAUGCAGGGGGUUAUCAGGAAAUAUGUAGGAAAGGCCCACAUGUCGGGUUUACAUAGAGAUAUUAACAUGCCGCGCAAUUUUCUAUCAUCUAGAAGACUCUAGAAGCCACGGGAACGAACGGGAAGCCGAGCGGGCUCAGGGACGGGGCGCCCGCCCUACUCCUUAGGGCGCCUGCCCUACUUUUUCCACCAAUCAUGAUCAACCUCGCGGAUUAUGCUCCACCGACCUAAAGGAUCAAGGAAAACCGUGCGAUUAAUGUCAGUUUGAUCCGACGGCCCAGAUUCACUUGAGUGGACUAUAUAAGUAGACCCCCUGGCCUCUGGAGGAGGCACCCCUUGAUCCCUAUUCAUUAUUCAUAGACAGAGCAAAAGCUAGGGUUUGGAAAUGAGAGCUAUCCUCUCUUCUAUAAACUAGAGUAGAUCUAGAUAGUAGCGAGAUGGAGAGCGAGGGAGGAUUGGAGGAGAGGCCAGCCUAUUGGUUCUUCCUCCGGUUGUACUUCGCCAUGAUCAAGCUCUAAUCAAGCUUUCUCAUGGGAUGACUCUGGUAAUUGUUGACGGUCCUUAAGUAUCAAAUUUAAUUAUCAAAUAAAUAAAGAAAAGGAUCCAAAUGAAAUCAACAUCUAGACUUAGAGUUUUAUCUGACAGAAUUCCACGAGUUUUGGUGUUUGUCUAUUUCUGCAGGGGGUUAUCAGGAAAUACGGAAGAAAGGCCCACAUGUCAGGAUUACGUAAAGAUAUUAACGUGCUGCGCAAUUAUCUUACAUCUAGAAGACUCCAGAAGCCACGAGACCGAAGCGGAGGCGAAACGGGGCCAGAGGCAGGGCGCCCGCCCUGUCCUACUGGGCGCCCGCCCCCUCCAGGAGUCCAAUGAGGACUCUGCUUUGCGGGAGAUCUCCACCGACCUAAAUGAUGAAUCUAAACCAUACAAUCUAUGUCGGUUUGAUCCAAUGGCCCAUAUUCACUUGAAGGGACUAUAAAACCAGACCCCCUGGCCCCUGGAGGAGAGAGCCUCUCAACCCUAAUUCAUUGUUCCAUCAAGGGAGAAGAAGCCUCUGAUCAAGAUUAGAGCCACCACAUCAAUUAGACAUCUAGAUUAGCAUAGCUACAUACGAUUAGAACUAGAAGGAGUCAAUCUUCGAUUGGUUUCCGGAUCUGUCAGGAGGAUUCUUGGUAAUUCUCUAAUUGUGCUUCUAAUUGCUUUCUAAUUAUCUUUGUUCUUCAAUAUUAUGAAUAUGACUUUGUUCUACUUCAAUAUAUUGCUUAUGACUUUGCUCUACUUGCUUAUAUUCAAGAUUAUAUUGUUCUUAGUUUAUCAUAGUUAUGUACUUGGCUUAGUUAGAUUCGAUCUAUAUACAUGCUUAGGAUCAUAUAGCGUUUAUCCAUCGGAUCCAUGGGUAAAUGAUAGAUAUUGUGUAGGCGUGGUGCUUAUACCGUAUUUAUCUGCGAUUGUACCCAAUAUGCCAGAUCGUGGGGUGGUUCGUGAUAGUGACAGCUUCAUUGAUUCUUAUAUAGUCCCCCUCUCGUGUAUUGGGCUGGCAGAGCAACAUUAUUACAGGGGAGUGAUUGCUAUGUUUCUCAUAUUCCUUGCUAAUAUCACUAUGCAUGGGCGUAGUCUUGUCUCACAAUGAUUGCUAAGUAUGCUUGCACUAACUAUGAUAUGCUAGACUAUAUAGUUAAGAAUAACUUAGGGAAUAUUCUUGUAGUUCGUUCUAAUACCAUGCUAAUGACUUUCUAGAGUAUCUAAUUGAGGUGGUUAUCAUAUUUAUUAUGUGGCUAGAUCAGAUUAGUUAUCCUUGUCACUAUUAUUACUUCAUAUAUCUUUUAUGUGACACUUAUCCCUGUAUGAAGAGUUAGAUAUAAUGUUCUCAAUUAUACAUGCAAUGAUAGAUGCUCAAUCUCAUAUUCUAUUCUGUAAUCAACAAUGUUAUCCUAAACGCUAAACAGUAAACAGUCAGUCACCGUUCGUUUAGCGUUUAAACUGUUUAGACGGUGUUUAAACGGAUUAAAACGGUCUAAACGGUUUUACACAAUAUUACAAAAAUGUGCAUAUUUUUUAAUGUAAAAUCAAUCAUUCUAUCAUUUAUACAUAUUUAUGCAACUAAAAUCCAUUUAUUUUAUUAUGUAUAUAUGUUUAUGCAUGUUAGAAUAAUUAAAUAUACAUAUUUAUGCAUAUAACAAAUCAAUUUUAUAUAUUUAUAAAUAUAAUAAAUUUAAGUAUACAAAUUGUUAAUAUAAAAUUCAACUAGAUUCACCUGGUGUUUGCCUAAACGGCCGUUUAAACAGCCGUUUAACACCGUUUACAACCGUUCCGAGUAGGCCGUUUAGACCGUUUUCCCCGUUUUUUGACCGUUUAAACGGUCAACCGUUUAAUUUCCCGUUUACCCCCUAAACAAAACAGUUUGCCACCGUUUACCGUUUAAUGACCGUUUAAUCGGCCGUUUAGGCGAACACUGGUAAUCAAUAGUGAUGAUUUCUAAUCCCUUCCCAGUGGUAAAAAUAUAAAUAACGAUACCUGGAAUACUUCCUGGUUAAAAUGCUGCAUCGGUAUUAAUCUGUGCGCUUGCAGAUCCCAUUCAUUAUUUAUUUAGAAGAGCAAUUGCAUAUUUCAAUACCGCGUCUCUCAUGUCAUGCUGGGGAUGACAACUUGGCUUAAGUGGUGUGAGGGAUAGGUUUGGCAUUUUUGGCACCGUUACUAGAUUUAGAGAACUUAGUCUACUUUUGGUAAUGAUGUUAAGAACACCCAACAAGCAUUUUUGGCGCCGUUGCCGGGGAAGGUUGAUUACUAAUCAGGAAUGGAAUAAAAGAUUUUGAGUUAUCAUUCGCAUCGCUUAUCUAUUCUCUCAUACAGUUUUACCCCGAUAUUUUCCUAUUUCAUCUUAUGCAGGGGAAUGUAUGAAUAGAAGACAUCUUCCAGGAAAUUUUGUUGACAAUCCUGAAGCAUUAUUCAAGAAGACGAGAGCAAAGCUCAAGAAGAAAUCAUCAACACUUCACGAAGAAGCUUCAUCCAAUCAAGAAGAUCACCGGAACUUGUCUUCAGAGUUCGAAGCCAUGGCGAACAAAUCAAUCCGCGAGUUCUCAGCUCCCACUACGGACAAUAUCCGCACUGGACCUGCUGCAGAGAUCGACGGCAACUUUGAGCUCAAGCCUGGACUUAUCAACAUGGUGCAAUCCAACCAGUUCUGUGGGAAGGCACACGAAGAUGUUAGUGCUCAUUUACAACACUUCAUGGAGAUUUGCAACACAUUCACCAUACCAGGAGUUUCCAAAGAUGCUAUACUACUUCGCCUCUUCCCAUUCUCACUGUUAGGAAGAGCGAAGUAGUGGUUCUACGCUACAAAGGAGAAGAAUACUAUGUGGGCACUCUGCUCAACAAACUUCCUGGCUAAGUUCUUUCCCAUGGGCAAGACCAAUGCUCUCCGUGGGAAGAUUACAAGUUUUCAGCAACAAAAUGAUGAAUCUGUUCUAGAAGCAUGGGAGCGCUUUCAAGACUACAUCCUAGAAUGUCCCCAUCAUGGAAUGGAGAGUUGGCUACUGAUGCAGACGUUUUAUCAUGGGCUCAGCAACAGUGCCCGAGAGACCAUGGAUGCUGCAGCUGGAGGAGCAUUCUUAUCACUUACUAUACCACAAGCCACAGCUCUUGUGGAGAAGAUGGCGUCCAAUCAAAGCUGGAAUGAAGAGAGGACCCAGACACGCAAGAGAGGUGGAGGUAUGCAUCAGCUGAAGGAGGUAGACAUGCUGUCUGCAAAGCUAGACCUGCUCAUGAAGAAGCUCGACGAUAGAGCUGGAGACAAGAAAGAAGUUAUGCACAUCUACGACUCUCACAUGACUUGUGAGGAGUGUGGAGACACUGGACACUCAGGCAACCACUGCCCUGAGAUGCUUGAGGAUGUAAACUACAUCAACAACAACUACUACUACUACUACAACCGUCCUCAACAAAAUCAAGGUUGGAAUCAACAAAGGCCUAACUACUCAGGUAAUUAUCAAGGUAACAAUUCUUACAACAAUAAUAAUAAUUUUCCACCUCUCAGAGAGUUAGUGUCUAAUCAAGGAAAGCUAAUGGAUAAUCUAUCUAAGAAAUUGGCAUCUAAUGAUAAAAUGCUAGAAAAUAUAAAUAAUAGAAUGGAUAAUUUUUCUACUGCCAUCAAGAAUCAAAUUAGCUUUAAUAAAAUGAUUGAAUCCCAGUUAAAUCAAAUAGCUGCUGCUGUUCCUACUACUAACCCCGGUAUACCAUCACAACCGGAAGGAUUAGAAUCUGUAAAUCUUGUAGACAUGUUUGAUGCAGGUAAUUGGAGUAACCCCAUCAAUGAAUUCUCUACUGACCUUCUGCCGGUCAAGAGAGGCGAUCCAGGACGCCCCGUCAUCCCGAUCUCCAUCGGCAUGGUGGACGUUCCAGAAGCACUCUGUGACUUUGGCUCCAGUGUCAACAUUAUACCUAGGGUACUCUAUGAAAAAUUCUUUACAUAUCCUUUAUUAGAGACAACCAUGUGUUUGCAGUUUGCAGAUCAGACGAUAACUUUCCCAAAAGGAAUAGUGAAGAACCUUUGUGUCCGAGUUGGUACCUUAUAUGCCCCAGCAGACUUCGUAGUGGUAGAGACCGGUAAUGAUGAGAGAGCACCCAUCAUCUUAGGGAGGCCAUUCUUGAACACCACGGGAGCUAUCAUCUACGCUAGUGCUGCCAAGAUCAGUUUCUACGUCAAAGGGAGGAAGGAGACAUUUUUCUUCAAGAACAAGACUACACAAAUUCAAGAUUAAUCCAGACGUAAAUCAAGGAAGAGGACCAACAGGAGAAACAGGAACAAGCAAGUGUGGACCGAGUCAGCUAAGAUGGUCACUGUAGUUCAUGGAGGCCAAGAUCAUCAACUCAAGUCACCGCUUUUGACCAAGAAGGACGACCCAGGAAUGCCAAGCAUUUACUGCUCCAUAAAUGGAUACAACUUCUACAAGACGUUUUGCGACACCGGAUCGGGCGUCAACAUAAUGGUCGCAGUCACCUAUCGGCUCUUGUUCGGAACCAUGCCACUAAGACCAACAUACAUUCAACUCCAGAUGGCAGAUCAGACAUUUCGAGAAGUCAAAGGAAUAGUAUCUGAUGUCCCAGUCAAAAUAGACGAUCACUUUGUCUACACAGACUUUCAAGUUGUUGACAUGGGAGAAGAUGAGUAUGAUCCACCCAUCAUCCUUGGAAGACUGUUCCUCAGCACCGUUAAAGCAAUUAUCUACAUUGGAACCGGAGAAGUCCAUAUGCACUUCCCCUCAGAGAAGGUACGCCGUUACUUUACUGACCCUAACUAUAUCGUUGAAGAAUCUAAGCAGGUAAGAAAGCGACGCAACUGCAACCAGAGGAGGCAGAUCAUCAAGGACGGAUGGGCAGACUAUGAAGGAGAAGUUGUAAGAUCAGAAGACGUAGAGUUUAAACAGAAUUAUCCAGAGGAGAUUGAAGCACCGAGUCAGGUAUGGAAAAUGAAGAUAACUAUACAUGAAGAGGAGGCGCUGCCGGAAGUACCGACUACGCCACCCAAUGAACCUCAGGACGAUUAAGAAAAUGGAGAGUCCCAUUCGGAAGACUUAAAAACACUGAACGCCUUGCCAAGAGGUAAACUUGGUAGUUAUCCUUUCCCUUUCAAUUAUUCAAAUAGUUUACUUAGUUAAUCGUGUUCGUACUAUUCUAAAAAGAAAAUAAAAAAAAUGUGAAAAACUAUAAGCCCCAUGUGAGUAGACGAGUGGCAUAAAAUCCAUAAGUACAUUCACUGUGGUGGCAUAAAAAUAAAAUAAAUAUUUUUCUGCUUUAUAAAAAUAAAAAUAUAAAAAGAGGGAGUAAUAAUUAUUGAGGAGUCUCAACAUGAUAAAGGCUAGAUAUUUAUGCUAACACUUAAUCAAGUUCCACAAGCUUUGUUGUCUAUUUGAGCUCCACAGAAUUUAAGAAUCAAGAAGACUAGCAGACGGAGGACAUUCUAAUCGCUGUCAGAAUGCUGCUGACUUUCAAAUACACCUCUGCCACCUGCUAGCUACAUCAAGAGAAAUUACGUCAAAAUUCAGCUUGGGGGAGAGCACCCCCAUUUAUCUCGAUAAGUAUUUCUAUCUAUUUUCAUACUUAUAUUAUAUUAGAAUAUUAAAAUACAUAAACUAGGAAAAACCAAAUAAAGAUUUUGUGCUUAUUUAUCUUUUGCUUAGUGUGUUUAAUAAAUAAAUAAAGUGGCUAUGCUAAUCUGUAUCUAAAUAAAACUUAAGCAUGGAUAUGAUAAAUAGUUGCUCUGCCUAAUUUGCACAUUUGAAGUUCUCUCUCAAGUUUAGAUAUAACUGUUAUAAUUUAAGGCUUGCUCUAGACCUAAACUUGUGGGAUGAAAACUUGAUCUGAAGUCUAAGUUGUUAACGGAUAUGAUAUGGGAAGGUUGAGCUGCUGUUUAUCUGUUCCUAGAGAUGCUAGAAUUCUAGAGAAUUUUAUCUUUGAAAAUCUUUAAAAUGUUGCAUGAUGAGUUCCUGUAUGAUGAGAGUUUAAAUUCCUACCACAGCCAUAUAUACAUGCUUGCUAGACUUUGAGCCACACAUUUAUUUACUGCUUAUGAGCAUUGAGUGUGGUCAAGCUGUGUAGACCCUUAGGAGCUUGUCAUGUGGUUAAAUCAAGAUUUCACUUGCACGUCCACUCAUAUAUGCUACUUCUACUCCAGAAGUACCAUCCACAUAUAUCCAUCCUUUCCAUCUCCAGAAUCACCCAAAAAUAUUCUACUCCUAAUUUGGGAGAGAAUAACCAAAAAUAUUUCUGUUUCCCCUUGUGAAAUAAAUGCUCAAGUUAUCUUGUUACUACCACUUGCUAUAUUAUCUCAAGAGAUGAAUGCUCUGAAAAAAAAGAGAAAAAGAAAAAAGAAAAGAUACGAGGAAAUAAAAAGGAGCAAGUGCUCGGAACCUCGAAAGAAAAGAAAAAGUGAGAUGAGAGGUAAAAAUGGACAAGUGUCCGACAGUAGAAUUAGGGGUACAAGAUACCCACCUGAGAGACAAGAAAAAGAAGAGCAUCUCAUUCUCCUCAUAAAGUUUCAAAAGCAAGGAAGGUAUGUAUCCCCUCAAAGAGCAAAGUAGAAUUAGACUUCCACCAUCAUUGUUUCCACUAUUGUUGUCACCAUCAUCACCAUACAUCAUUCAUUCGCCACACAUGCACAUCUUGAUUUGGCUUAUUGAUUUGUUUCUUUGGAUCCAUGGUUUGACUAUGCAAUAAAUGUCUUGUAAGUAUGUAUAUUUUAUCUCCCACCUAUGGGCUCCAGAUAUUAAAGCCUUAUUAGAGUAGGGUGAGAGAGAAGGCAAUGUCACUAUGCCUCAUACCACAAAUACCACAUAUCUUGAGAGAAGGCAUAUACCAUCACUGCCUUGGUAAGGAUCCAAAAAUACCACAAAAGAGAGACCUGAGAGAAUCAUACAAGGAAUUUCUAAGUUUUAUUUGAAAAUCUGCAAAAAAAACCCCAGAGCUAUAGCUGAUCAAGAAUAAGAGACAUGGCACUUGGCUAGACUGUUCUAUCUUUUAACCACUCAAGACAGAAGUGACGGUUACAAGUCCCAU